rnacentral:rRNA from 12 species
GUUGAGAGUUUGAUCCUAGCUCAGGAUGAACGCUGGCGGUAUGCUUAACACAUGCAAGUCGAACGAAAAGCUAAGAUUUUUUUUUCAAAUUUUUCUAUUUAGUUUUUAGUGGCGGACGGGUGAGUAACACGUGAGAAUUUACCUAUAGGAAGGGGACAACAGUUGGAAACGAUUGCUAAUACCCUAUAUGCUUUUUU